CGGGGUGUAGCUCAGAUGGCUAGAGUGCACGCUUUGGGAGCGUGAGGCCGUGAGUUCAAGUCUCACCACCCCGA
rnacentral:tRNA from 1 species